rnacentral:rRNA from 1 species
UACGAAGGGGGCUAGCGUUGUUCGGAAUUACUGGGCGUAAAGCGUGCGCAGGCGGUUUUGUAAGUCUGUCGUGAAAUCCCCGGGCUCAACCUGGGAAUUGCGAUGGAGACUGCAAGGCUAGAAUCUGGCAGAGGGGGGUAGAAUUCCACGUGUAGCAGUGAAAUGCGUAGAGAUGUGGAGGAAUACCGAUGGCGAAGGCAGCCCCCUGGGAUAACACUGACGCUCAUGCACGAAAGCGUGGGGAGCAAACAGG